ACUCAAAGGAAUUGACGGGGACCCGCACAACCAGUGGAGCGUGUGGUUCAAUUUGAGACAAAGCAAAAAACCUCACCAAGGUUUGACAUGUAACCGUACAUUUUUCCAGAAAUGGAGAGAAAUCCGCAAGGAUGGUUACACAGGUGUUGCAUGGCUGUCGUCAGCUCGUGCCGUGAGGUGUCUUAUUAAGUUAAGAAACGAGCGCAACCCCUACCCUGUGUUAAAUUUUCACAGGGGACUGCCCCCGCUUUGCGGGGGAGGAAGGAGGGGCGGAUGUCAAGUCCGCAUGACCCUUAUACCUUGGGCUACACACACCCUACAAUGGCGAAAAACAAUGCGUCGCAAGCCGGUAACGGCAAGCUAAUCGCUGAAAUUUCGCCUCAGUUCAGAUCGAGGUCUGAAAUUCGACCUCGUGAAGUCGGAAUUGGUAGUAAUCGCAAAUCAGCAGGUUGCGGUGAAUACGUUCUCGGGUCUUGCACACACCGCCCGU
rnacentral:rRNA from 1 species